GACGAACGCUGGCGGCGUGCCUAAUACAUGCAAGUCGAGCGAAGUUUUUCUGGUGCUUGCACUAGAAAAACUUAGCGGCGAACGGGUGAGUAACACGUAAAGAACCUGCCUCAUAGACUGGGACAACUAUUGGAAACGAUAGCUAAUACCGGAUAACAGUAUUUCUCGCAUGAGAGAUAUUUAAAAGUUGGUUAUGCUAACACUAUGAGAUGGGUUUGCGGUGCAUUAGCUAGUUGGUGGGGUAAAGGCCCACCAAGGCGACGAUGCAUAGCCGACCUGAGAGGGUGAUCGGCCACACUGGGACUGAGACACGGCCCAGACUCCUACGGGAGGCAGCAGUAGGGAAUCUUCCGCAAUGGGCGAAAGCCUGACGGAGCAACGCCGCGUGAGUGAAGAAGGAUUUCGGUUCGUAAAGCUCUGUUGUUAGGGAAGAAUGGAUAUGUAGUAACUAUACAUGUAAGAGACGGUACCUAACCAGAAAGCCACGGCUAACUACGUG
rnacentral:rRNA from 1 species